UACAGAGGGUGCGAGCGUUAAUCGGAAUUACUGGGCGUAAAGCGUGCGUAGACGGCUAUUUAAGUCGGAUGUGAAAGCCCCGGGCUCAACCUGGGAAUUGCAUUCGAGACUGAAUAGCUAGGGUACGGUAGAGGGAAGUGGAAUUUCCGGUGUAGCGGUGAAAUGCGUAGAUAUCGGAAGGAACAUCAGUGGCGAAAGCGACUUCCUGGACCAGUACCGACGUUCAGGCACGAAAGCGUGGGGAGCAAACAGG
rnacentral:rRNA from 1 species